rnacentral:rRNA from 1 species
GUCUGCUUGAAGAUAUAAGGAGUCUAGCCUGCUCUCUGAUUAAUUUAAGGGCCGCGGUAAUUUGACCGUGCAAAGGUAGCAUAAUAAUUAGUUUUUUAAUUGGAAUCUUGUAUGAAUGGUUGGACAAAAGAAAUACUGUCUCUAUAAUUAUUAUUGAAUUUAACUUUUGAGUGAAAAGGCUUAAAUUAUUUAAAAAGACGAUAAGACCCUAUAAAGCUUUAUAAGUAAAUAUUAUUUAAUUGAAUUAUUUAUAAUAAUUUAAUAAUUUAAUUAUUAUGUUGGGGAGACAAAAUUAUAAAUUAUAUUAACUAAAAUAGAAUAUUACAAAUAUAUUUGACUUAUUUUAUAAAUGAUCCUAUAUAAAGAUUAAAAGUUUAAGUUACUUUAGGGAUAACAGCGUUAUUUUCUUUGAGAGUUCAUAUCGAAAAGAAAGAUUGCGACCUCGAUGUUGAAUUAAAAUUUCUAAGUGAUUGCAGAAGUUGCUUUAGAGGGUCUGUUCGACCUUUAAAUUUUUACAUGAUUUGAGUUCAGACCGGCGUGAGCCAGGUUGGUUUCUAUCUUUUAAGAAAUAAUAAACUAUUUUAGUACGAAAGGAUUAAGUAGUUAAAUUUUAUUUUGAGUUG